rnacentral:lncRNA from 1 species
AUUCAUAAGUACAGGUACACAUCAUUAUCCACAAACUGUUUUUUUAUUGAACAUAUUAUUGAUGCUACAGAAGGAGGACCCAUUGCUGAUGACAUGUAGAGAUGACAGGGAAUGCUUGUGGUCAUAGGAAGAUCAGUGGUUUAGCUGGAUGUAAACAACCCACAUAUGCCUCAACGUGCGUCUAACAUGAAGUCACAGAUCUAGGAAGAGAAGUGGCAGAACACAAGAAGGUCUCCAGGGCCCGUCUGACUCAUUAGAAAGAAUCUCUGUGGUUCAUUGGUCUCAUUAGACCCCUGAGAACAAGACUGGUCACUGCUUACCAUUGCCUGGAUGAGGACAGAUACUUUAUGGCUGAAUGCUUUUUGUUCUAAAUGAGUGGAAAAACUGGGUGGAAGCUGAAGGUGCAGAUGUGCUAGUGCAUAGAAGGGCCAGAACAAACACCAUUUGCAAUUCAAGUGCCUUUAGACCCUAGAUGAGACUGUCUUGUAACUGCUUGCACGGUGUUAUGUAGCUUGAUUAAAGGUA